UACCCUGAUUUAAUCAGACCGA
rnacentral:piRNA from 1 species